rnacentral:lncRNA from 1 species
ACACAGACUGAGUGUAUGAGGGGUUUUUUUUGUUUUUUUUUUUUUAGUUUAAACUUGAUUUUGUGAGGGGACGAACAGCGUGACAAUUAAAGAAGAUCUAGGAAUCCAGAGCAACUGGGAACCUAAUUCUGACCAACAAGGAGGAAUUGUUUGGCUAAUUGGAAGUGACAGAAACCUUGGGAGAAAGCAACCGCAUACCAAGGAUAAUUAUAAGAAGGUAACAUGGGCCCUAAAGGAUAGUGUCAAGAAACCUGAAACCCCCAAAUGAGGUGAGACUUGCAAAAAAUGCUAAGGAAGGAC